UGUCGGUAACACGCCGUUUUUAACCGGUAAUGAGGGCUUUGUAGAGCGUCAUAGAAAUUGAAAUACUUCUGAGAACGAGAAAACAGCUUGCAACAGUGUGAUUCUUUUAGUAGACAAGCCACCUUACAAAAUAUGGCAAGACCCCGAAAGACAAACAAAAGAGUUGAAAAAUUAAACUCUGCCAAGAAAGAAGUUAAUGUGGAAAAACUUCAUGACAAUGUUGACAAUGUGAAGAAAUCAGCUAUAUCGAUUCGAAGAAGGAAUGUCGCUGUAGG